GUGGUCUAGCGGUUAGAACGCUGGCCUUGUAAUCCUGGGGUCUCGGGUUCGAUUCCCGAC
rfam:Zootermopsis nevadensis contig26587, whole genome shotgun sequence.